GAUGAACGCUGGCGGCGUGCCUAAUACAUGCAAGUCGAGCGAAUGGAUUAAGAGCUUGCUCUUAUGAAGUUAGCGGCGGACGGGUGAGUAACACGUGGGUAACCUGCCCAUAAGACUGGGAUAACUCCGGGAAACCGGGGCUAAUACCGGAUAACAUUUUGAACCGCAUGGUUCGAAAUUGAAAGGCGGCUUCGGCUGUCACUUAUGGAUGGACCCGCGUCGCAUUAGCUAGUUGGUGAGGUAACGGCUCACCAAGGCAACGAUGCGUAGCCGACCUGAGGGGGUGAUCGGUCACACUGGGACUGAGACACGGCCCAGACUCCUACGGGAGGCAGCAGUAGGGAAUCUUCCGCAAUGGACGAAAGUCUGACGGAGCAACGCCGCGUGAGUGAUGAAGGCUUUCGGGUCGUAAAACUCUGUUGUUAGGGAAGAACAAGUGCUAGUUGAAUAAGCUGGCACCUUGGCGGUACCUAACCAGAAAGCCACGGCUAACUACGUGCCAGCCGCCGCCGUAA
rnacentral:rRNA from 1 species